rnacentral:rRNA from 1 species
ACGGCUCAGUAACACGUGGACAACCUACCCUGAGGUCGGGGAUAAACCCGGGAAACUGGGUAUAAUACCCGAUAGAUCUAGAUCGCUGGAAUGCUUUUAGGUCUAAAGUUCCGACGCCUCAGGAUGGGUCUGCGGCCUAUCAGGGUAGUAGUGGGUGUAAAGUACCUACUAGCCUACGACGGGUACGGGUUGUGAGAGCAAGAGCCCGGAGAUGGAUUCUGAGACACGAAUCCAGGCCCUACGGGGUGCAGCAGGCGCGAAACCUUUACAAUGCUGGCAACAGCGAUAAGGGGACCUCGAGUGCUACGAUACAAUCGUGGCUGUCUAGUUGCCUAAAAGGCAAUUGAUAGCAAGGGCCGGGCAAGACCGGUGCCAGCCGCCGCGGUAACACCGGCGGCUCGAGUGGUAACCGCUAUUAUUGGGUCUAAAGGGUCUGUAGCCGGCUUAGUUAGUCUCUUGAGAAAUCUGGCCGCUCAACGGUCAGGCGUUCAGGGGAUACUGCUAAAGCUCGAGACCGGGAGAGGUGAGAGGUACUUCAGGGGUAGGGGUGAAAUCUUGUAAUCCUUGAAGGACCACCAGUGGCGAAGGCGUCUCACCAGAACGGAUCUGACGGCAAGGGACGAAAGCUAGGGGCACGAACCGGAUUAGAUACCCGGGUAGUCCUAGCCGUAAACGAUACUCGCUAGGUGUCGGCCACGGUGCGACCGUGGUCGGUGCCGUAGGGAAGCCGUGAAGCGAGCCACCUGGGAAGUACGGCCGCAAGGCUGAAACUUAAAGGAAUUGGCGGGGGAGCAC